UGGGAGCUUGCUCCCUGAUGUUAGCGGCGGACGGGUGAGUAACACGUGGGUAACCUGCCUGUAAGACUGGGAUAACUCCGGGAAACCGGGGCUAAUACCGGAUGGUUGUUUGAACCGCAUGGUUCAAACAUAAAAGGUGGCUUCGGCUACCACUUACAGAUGGACCCGCGGCGCAUUAGCUAGUUGGUGAGGUAACGGCUCACCAAGGCAACGAUGCGUAGCCGACCUGAGAGGGUGAUCGGCCACACUGGGACUGAGACACGGCCCAGACUCCUACGGGAGGCAGCAGUAGGGAAUCUUCCGCAAUGGACGAAAGUCUGACGGAGCAACGCCGCGUGAGUGAUGAAGGUUUUCGGAUCGUAAAGCUCUGUUGUUAGGGAAGAACAAGUACCGUUCGAAUAGGGCGGUACCUUGACGGUACCUAACCAGAAAGCCACGGCUAACUACGUGCCAGCAGCCGCGGUAAUACGUAGGUGGCAAGCGUUGUCCGGAAUUAUUGGGCGUAAAGGGCUCGCAGGCGGUUUCUUAAGUCUGAUGUGAAAGCCCCCGGCUCA
rnacentral:rRNA from 1 species